UUUAUUUCAAGAGAUUAAACAGAUAGCAAAAACAAUCUUCCCUGAGGUACUCUUAUACAAGACAGACAAAAACAGACAUUUACAAAUAGUUAAUCAACAAAAAUAUAGUUCAAUAUAUUAUUAGAAUAGAUUAAAAAAAAGUCAUGUACAUAUAAAAAAUAAUACAUUGUAAAAUGAUUGUUUGCAGUUCAUGAUUAAAUUAAAGCUCUUUAACAUCAGCAGCUGCACUAAUCAUUGUAUUUGAUAGUCAUCCAAGGACUUCUCACAUACAGAAGUAAAACCUUUUCUAAAGCCUGAAUAGAUGUCUAUUUGGCUUUGCAGCAUUUAUAAAUUAGACCAAAAUUGCUCUCACAUUUGACUUGAUGGUGAUGUAUAUAUAUAUAGCCAUGUGUCAUGAACAUACAUAAAAUAUUUUCCACUGGACAACAAAAAACAAUCGAUCAAUUAAAAGAUCAAAAAUCUUCCCAGAAUCCCUCAGCAAUGUAAAUAAAAGCAUGUU
rnacentral:lncRNA from 1 species